rnacentral:rRNA from 1 species
AUUGAACGCUGGCGGCAGGCCUAACACAUGCAAGUCGAGCGCGCGGCGCACACGUGUGUAUUGUCUGUGAAACUGCCCGUUGUAGGGGGAGAACUCUUGGAAACGGUAUCUAAUAUCCCACACCCUCAGAUGUGCCCCGAUGGGAUGAGCUCGUAGGUGGGGUAACGGCUCACCUCGGCGCCGAUCCCUAGCUGGUCUGUGAGGAUGACCAGCCACACUGGAACUGAGACACGGUCCAGACUCCUACGGGAGGCAGCAGUGGGGAAUAUUGCACAAUGGGCGCAAGCCUGAUGCAGCCAUGCCGCGUGUGUGAAGAAGGCCUUCGGGUUGUAAAGCACUUUCAGCGGGGAGGCGUUACCCGCAGAAGAAGCACCGGCUAACUCCGUGCCAGCAGCCGCGGUAAUAC